ACAGUCCACACCCAGCAACCAUCAGGACGCCCCCUGCUCCCGGCCCGAAGACUGUAGGGACCAUGGGAGGAGAGAGUGGUGGCUGGACCGGUCGGGGCGUGUGCGCGGAAGGCUGGAGUUGCUUGAGUAUUGUCUGCCGGGGCCGGCGCUUGCGUCAGGGUGCUCCCUCGCGCUUUCGGGGGUAGGGAAUGGGUUUGCUGAACUUACUCUGAGGGCUGAUUCUGCACAUGCCCUUGGCGCCUUGUGCAUGUUUGGACAAGGGUUUAAUGGAGGCACGUGGGAGCAGUAUCGAUCUCUGGCGGGUCCCCAAAGACCCUCUUGGGAUAGUCCAGAGCGUGUUCGGGGUUGAGAGCGAAAGGAGAGUGUUCCGUGUGAAUGUGCGUCCUAGGGAGGAGGAGGACAGUGUCUCAAGGAGACUUGAUUUUCUUUUAUUUGCUGCAAUUCCGUAAACCAAAUCAUGCUUUCGAGGCGUUAAAGUAAAUUACUGGUAAGUGGGGCGGAUCUCUGCUGGGGAUAAAGAAGCUCCCGGGUUUGCGGGGUAGCGGGCCUGGCUGGCGUGCACGCUCGGUGGCUUUUGGCGCUGUCUCGCCUAGGUAGUGGGGGUGGAGGUGGUGGUGCUUGUGUCUUUGGCUUAAGGUGCUGGAGCCGGGCUUACUUGUCCUAGGUAGACUGUGGGACUUGGAGGAGGUAAAAAAGCUUCGCGGCGCGGUUAUUCGCAAUUAACUCCAGAAAUCUCAGUGUGUGUCUGUCGGUCGGUCUCUCUCUGUCUCUUUCUCUCUCUCUCUCUCUCUGUCUCUGUCUCUCUCUCUCUCUCUCUCUCACACACACACACACACACACACACACACACACACACACUCGCACGUCUCAUGGCUGCUUGGAUUUGCCGAUAGUUGUUCAUGAAUUUUUAUUCCUGUUUGUUCAUUUCCUGACUUUUUUUUUUUUUUUUUUUUGGAAAAAGGACCUACCUGUAUUAAAAUCCGUGGGGUUUCAGAAAGACCCUUCCGCAGUCAUUCAUAUUCAAAUCAAGGAUAGGGCAUUUUGAUGAAAAUACCCCACCAAACUGCUGUUUGGAUUGGACAAAACUGUAGUUCAGGUUAGAAUUACUGUUAUUUUAAAUAGACAUCUUACAACCUUGUGGUAAAGUAACCUUAGCCUGAAUCGCCCCUGAUCUUUCUUUGUGUCAAUUUACAGAAUUCUGAAUUACAGAUGAACAAAGCGGUGAAGUUUUCUUUUAAUUUUAAACGACAGGUCUUGAAAUGGCUGUAAGUUGAGUUCUGCGACUCCAUCUCUUUAAUGAUCGGCUCAGAGUGGUGUAUAGUUGAUGAUCUGAGACUUACAUAUGUUUCAAUUUCUAAUCAAAUAAUUUAUCAUACCAUUGGGGAGAAGGACGCCUUAGGAAUUUUCAACACAGAGGAGAAAGAACAUUUUUGUCUUUUGGAGCAAAUGUUUUGCCACUUUUUCCCCAGAUGUCCCCGUUAGAUGCCUAGAAAAGAUGCAUUGUUGACGAAUAAUACAUGAUUUAUUUCUCUUUUAUGUCUACAGGUGGCAGUGUAGAAGCCAGACCGGGAGCUUCCAGAAGUGGUUUCUGAAAGAGUCAAAUGUACAUGAGUAAGCAAGCACAGGAAUCUGAAAAACCACAGGCCCACUAAUUUGCCUGCUUGACUAAAAUAAGGACGAGUUAUGUGCUGAUGAGAGACAUGUUUGUAAUGUUAUUCGUUGUGACACAGUUCAAAAGAAUUUGCCUUUGAUUCUCACUAAAAUGUAAAGUUUUGCAUAUUAAGAUCCUUUUUCAACAACUGAGCAACUCUUUAUAAUGAAGGGCAGAAGACGCCAAAGGGAAGAAAAUAUUUACCUUUGUGGGCUUUUACUUUCUUUCCUGGGAAUGGUAGGCCAUAGCUAUUGGUAUGUUUUUUUGUUGUUGUUGUUGUUGUUGUUGUUGUUUUUUGAGAAGGAGUCUCU
rnacentral:lncRNA from 10 species